GACGAACGCUGGCGGCGUGCUUAACACAUGCAAGUCGAACGGAAAGGCCCCCACCUUGGUGGGGGUGCUCGAGUGGCGAACGGGUGAGUAACACGUGGGUGAUCUGCCCUGUACUUCGGGAUAAGCUUGGGAAACUGGGUCUAAUACCGGAUAGGACCAUGGUUUAGUGUCUCAUGGUGGAAAGAUUUUUUGGUGCUGGAUGAGCUCGCGGCCUAUCAGCUUGUUGGUGGGGUAAUGGCCUACCAAGGCGUCGACGGGUAGCCGGCCUGAGAGGGUGGACGGCCACAUUGGGACUGAGAUACGGCCCAGACUCCUACGGGAGGCAGCAGUGGGGAAUAUUGCACAAUGGGCGCAAGCCUGAUGCAGCGACGCCGCGUGGGGGAUGACGGCCUUCGGGUUGUAAACUCCUUUCGUUAGGGACGAAGCCGCACCUUUUUUUGGGUGUGGUGACGGUACCUUUGUUAAGAAGCACCGGCUAACUACGUGCCAGCAGCCGCGGUAAUACGUAGGGUGCGAGCGUUGUCCGGAAUUACUGGGCGUAAAGAGCUCGUAGGUGGUUUGUUGCGUCGUCUGUGAAAUUCCGGGGCUUAACUUCGGGGUGGCAGGCGAUACGGGCAUAACUAGAGUGCUGUAGGGGAGACUGGAAUUCCUGGUGUAGCGGUGGAAUGCGCAGAUAUCAGGAGGAACACCGAUGGCGAAGGCAGGUCUCUGGGCAGUAACUGACGCUGAGGAGCGAAAGCAUGGGGAGCGAACAGGAUUAGAUACCCUGGUAGUCCAUGCUGUAAACGGUGGGCGUUAGGUGUGGGGACCGGUUUGGUUUCUGUGCCGUAGCUAACGCAUUAAGCGCCCCGCCUGGGGAGUACGGCCGCAAGGCUAAAACUCAAAGGAAUUGACGGGGGCCCGCACAAGCGGCGGAGCAUGUGGAUUAAUUCGAUGCAACGCGAAGAACCUUACCUGGGUUUGACAUGCACCAGACGGUUGUAGAGAUACGUACCUCCCUUUGUGGUUGGUGUGCAGGCGGUGCAUGGUUGUCGUCAGCUCGUGUCGUGAGAUGUUGGGUUAAGUCCCGCAACGAGCGCAACCCUUGUCUUAUGUUGCCAGCACUUUGGGUGGGGACUCAUGAGAGACUGCCGGGGUUAACUCGGAGGAAGGUGGGGAUGACGUCAAAUCAUCAUGCCCUUUAUGCCCAGGGCUUCACACAUGCUACAAUGGUUAGUACAACGCGCUGCGAACCUGUGAGGGUGAGCGAAUCGCUGAAAGCUAAUCUCAGUUCGGAUUGGGGUCUGCAACUCGACCCCAUGAAGUCGGAGUCGCUAGUAAUCGCAGAUCAGCAAUGCUGCGGUGAAUACGUUCCCGGGCCU
rnacentral:rRNA from 1 species